rnacentral:sRNA from 1 species
CCCAGGGCGUUGCCCUGGGCUUUCGUAUUGCGGCCCUACGGGCCU